rnacentral:rRNA from 1 species
GAUUACUGGGCGUAAAGCGCACGCGGGCGGUCUGUUAAGCUAGAUGUGAAAGCCCCGCGCUCAACGUGGGAGGGUCAUUUAGAACUGGCAGACUAGAGUCUUGGAGAGGGGAGUGGAAUUCCAGGUGUAGCGGUGAAAUGCGUAGAGAUCUGGAGGAACAUCAAUGGCGAAGGCAACUCCCUGGCCAAAGACUGACGCUCAUGUGCGAAAGUGUGGGUAGCGAACAGGAUUAAAUACCCUGGUAGUCCACACCGUAAACGCUGUCUACUAGCUGUUUGUGAAUUUAAUUCGUGAGUAGCGAAGCUAACGCGAUAAGUAGACCGCCUGGGGAGUACGGCCGCAAGGUUAAAACUCAAAUGAAUUGACGGGGGCCCGCACAAGCGGUGGAGCAUGUGGUUUAAUUCGAUGCAACGCGAAGAACCUUACCUACUCUUGACAUACUAUAAACUUUUCAGAGAUGAAUUGGUGCCUUCGGGAAUCUAGAUACAGGUGCUGCAUGGCUGUCGUCAGCUCGUGUCGUGAGAUGUUGGGUUAAGUCCCGCAACGAGCGCAACCCUUGUCCUUAGUUGCCAGCCUUAAGUUGGGCACUCUAACGAGACUGCCGGUGACAAACCGGAGGAAGGUAGGGACGACGUCAAGUCAUCAUGGCCCUUACGAGUAGGGCUACACACGUGCUACAAUGGCGAGUACAAAGGGAUGCGAACCUGCGAAGGUAAGCGGA